rnacentral:rRNA from 1 species
GUGUCAGCAGCCGCGGUAAUACGGAGGGUGCGAGCGUUGUUCGGAAUUAUUGGGCGUAAAGCGCGUGUAGGCGGUUUUUUAAGUCUGAUGUGAAAGCCCCGGGCUCAACCUGGGAAGUGCAUUGGAAACUGGGAGACUUGAAUACGGGAGAGGGCAGUGGAAUUCCUGGUGUAGGAGUGAAAUCCGUAGAUAUCAGGAGGAACACCGGUGGCGAAGGCGGCUGCCUGGACCGAUAUUGACGCUGAGACGCGAAAGCGUGGGGAGCAAACAGGAUUAGAAACCCCCGUAGUCC